UACGGAGGAUCCGAGCGUUAUCCGGAUUUAUUGGGUUUAAAGGGUGCGUAGGUGGUCCGUUAAGUUCGUUGUGAAAGCCCUGGGCUCAACCCAGGAACUGCUUCGAAUACUGGCGGACUUGAGGCUAGUAGAGGUCACUGGAACUGACGGUGGAGCGGUGAAAUGCGUAGAUAUCGUCAGGAACGCCAAUGGUGAAGACAGGUGACUGGGCUAGUUCUGACACUGAGGCACGAAAGCGUGGGGAUCAAACGGG
rnacentral:rRNA from 1 species